UACGUAGGUGGCGAGCGUUAUCCGGAAUGAUUGGGCGUAAAGGGUGCGCAGGCGGUCCUGCAAGUCAGAAGUGAAAGCCCGGGGCUCAACUCCGGGACUGCUUUUGAAACUGUGUUGCUAGAUUGCAGGAGAGGUAAGUGGAAUUCCUAGUGUAGCGGUGAAAUGCGUAGAUAUUAGGAGGAACACCAGUGGCGAAGGCGGCUUACUGGACUGUAAAUGACGCUGAGGCUCGAAAGCGUGGGGAGCGAACAGG
rnacentral:rRNA from 1 species